UACAGAGGUCCCAAGCGUUGUUCGGAUUCACUGGGCGUAAAGGGUGCGUAGGUGGCGGGGUAAGUCGGAUGUGAAAUCUCCGAGCUCAACUCGGAAAUGCAUUGGAAACUGCCCUGCUCGAGGGUUGGAAGGGGGACUGGAAUGCUUGGUGUAGCAGUGAAAUGCGUAGAUAUCGAGAGGAACACCUGAGGUGAAGACGGGUUGCUGGGCCGACACUGACGCUGAUGCGCGAAAGCCAGGGGAGCAAACGGG
rnacentral:rRNA from 1 species